GUGGUGUGUGACAUGAGGGCGCUCGGGUCCGGCGACGCCACAAAAGCUGCGUUUGAGAGCAUGGCUGAUGUCAUUAUGUAAGAAGAGGUGCCAAAUGGCAGCGGAUUUCAGCUUUGCGGACUGUGCCCUGGUUUAAACUUUGCACGCCGGCCUAGGGAAGUCCCGUACAAAAGCCCACAGAUGCGCAUAAAUUACUGACAGUGCCCAUCCUCCCCUGCCAGCUGGCAUGGAGAUCCAGAUGCUGACCUGGCUGAAAGAGAAUACUGUGUUGGCGUCUCCUGAUGCAGAGUUAAAUGCUUGUUAAAGAAAAAA